rnacentral:rRNA from 1 species
CUUACACAUGCAAGUCGAACGAUGAACCACUUCGGUGGGGAUUAGUGGCGAACGGGUGAGUAACACGUGGGCAAUCUGCCCUGCACUCUGGGACAAGCCCUGGAAACGGGGUCUAAUACCGGAUACUGAUCCGCUUGGGCAUCUUGGCGGUUCGAAAGCUCCGGCGGUGCAGGAUGAGCCCGCGGCCUAUCAGCUAGUUGGUGAGGUAAUGGCUCACCAAGGCGACGACGGGUAGCCGGCCUGAGAGGGCGACCGGCCACACUGGGACUGAGACACGGCCCAGACUCCUACGGGAGGCAGCAGUGGGGAAUAUUGCACAAUGGGCGAAAGCCUGAUGCAGCGACGCCGCGUGAGGGAUGACGGCCUUCGGGUUGUAAACCUCUUUCAGCAGGGAAGAAGCGAAAGUGACGGUACCUGCAGAAGAAGCGCCGGCUAACUACGUGCCAGCAGCCGCGGUAAUACGUAGGGCGCGAGCGUUGUCCGGAAUUAUUGGGCGUAAAGAGCUCGUAGGCGGCUUGUCACGUCGGUUGUGAAAGCCCGGGGCUUAACCCCGGGUCUGCAGUCGAUACGGGCAGGCUAGAGUUCGGUAGGGGAGAUCGGAAUUCCUGGUGUAGCGGUGAAAUGCGCAGAUAUCAGGAGGAACACCGGUGGCGAAGGCGGAUCUCUGGGCCGAUACUGACGCUGAGGAGCGAAAGCGUGG